AGUUGAUUAACAAGGAUCUUUACUUUAUUGAUAUGAGCCAUGAGAUCUUCACCUUCUUCCAUCUUGCAAGUGAAGAAUUUCCUUCUUGUGAAGAUGAUAUUGGACAAAUUCUUGCUCUCAUAUAUGUUGCAAAGAGUUUUUGAUGCUUUUGCUGGUCUUUUACAAGAGAUGAUGUGAUAAAAGUUAGCUUCAUCCAAAUUGGUGGAAAUCAUGCCAAAAGCCUUCUUUUCACAUCUUCUGAAGUCUUUCUUCUCUUUAGCAUCAGCAUGGGUGCUUGGAGGCUCUUCACUUUCAUCUACAAUGUUUCAAAGGUCCAAAGAUGCCAACAAAAGCUCCAUUUUGACCUUCCAAUGGUAGAAAUUGUCACCUCUAAAUUUCUCAAUUACUCUCAAAUCUUUACCUUCACUUAAAGCCAUGUCUUAGAAGAGGUCUAUCAAAAAAUAUCAAGAAAAGGAGUCUCUAUAUGCUUAAAAUCACCAAAACAAUUUUAUACAAGUAAAAUCUCUGAAUGCCCUCUUGUAAACAAAUGAAUGUUUCUUCACUCCAAACACUCCUAAAUCAACUUUUGAAGCUUCUAUUAAGUAUGUGAACUCCAAUCAACCUCACCAUCAAGUUCUUCCACUCAUAAUACUCAUUUUUUCACUACAACACCAAAGACACUAUCAAAGUCUUUGUAUAAGAU
rnacentral:lncRNA from 1 species